GAUUUCGUAGCUCAAUUGGAAAGAGCAACUGCCUACGAAGCAGUAGGUUACUGGUUCGAGUCCAGUCGAAAUCACAA
rnacentral:tRNA from 1 species